UUUGUCCCAACCCUUCCCCAAUUCCCCCAAACGCUCCAGCUUCCAAAGAAUAAGAUCUGAAUGAUCCUUUGGCCUUCCCUCAACCCAAAAUUCCUCUCUCAACCCAAAAUUAGGGCUUGAAAUGAUAUUUGGAAACAAGAGAGGUUGCUCUAAUGGUAAGAAACCUCCACUUCCAACCAAGAGGUUGUGAGUUCGAGUCUUCCCAAGAGCAAGGUGGGAAGUUCUUGGAGGGAAGGAUGCCGGAGGUCUAUUUGGAAGCCUCUCUACCCAAUAGUAGGGGUAAAGUCAGCGUACACACUACCCUUCCCAGACCCCACUAAAUAGUAUACUUUGUUGUUGUUGUUGUUGUUGUUGUUAUUGUUGUAACAAACGGAUAUUGUAUAUUUACUUUAAUAAGAGAUGAGAACAUGUAAAAUGAUUACAAAAUCUUUUUACCUUUGAAUUUGUUAAUGGUGAACUCUUCGUACUCCAUAGAGGGAUAUGCAAAGGUAUCAACAUUCUGUAUUAGUACUACACUUGAACUUUAUUUUUUUCUUA